rnacentral:rRNA from 1 species
GCAGAACGCGAAGAACCUUACCAGGUCUUGACAUCCUCUGACAACUCUAGAGAUAGAGCGUUCCCCUUCGGGGGGCAGAGUGACAGGUGGUGCAUGGUUGUCGUCAGCUCGUGUCGUGAGAUGUUGGGUUAAGUCCCGCAACGAGCGCAACCCUUGAUCUUAGUUGCCAGCAUUUAGUUGGGCACUCUAAGGUGACUGCCGGUGACAAACCGGAGGAAGGUGGGGAUGACGUCAAAUCAUCAUGCCCCUUAUGACCUGGGCUACACACGUGCUACAAUGGAUGGUACAAAGGGCUGCAAGACCGCGAGGUCAAGCCAAUCCCAUAAAACCAUUCUCAGUUCGGAUUGUAGGCUGCAACUCGCCUACAUGAAGCUGGAAUCGCUAGUAAUCGCAAAUCAGAAUGUUGCGGUGAAUACGUUCCCCCGGGUCUUGUACACA